rnacentral:rRNA from 1 species
AGAGUUUGAUCCUGGCUCAGAUUGAACGCUGGCGGCAGGCCUAACACAUGCAAGUCGAGCGGUAACAGAAAGUAGCUUGCUACUUUGCUGACGAGCGGCGGACGGGUGAGUAAUGCUUGGGAACAUGCCUUGAGGUGGGGGACAACAGUUGGAAACGACUGCUAAUACCGCAUAAUGUCUACGGACCAAAGGGGGCUUCGGCUCUCGCCUUUAGAUUGGCCCAAGUGGGAUUAGCUAGUUGGUGAGGUAAUGGCUCACCAAGGCGACGAUCCCUAGCUGGUUUGAGAGGAUGAUCAGCCACACUGGGACUGAGACACGGCCCAGACUCCUACGGGAGGCAGCAGUGGGGAAUAUUGCACAAUGGGCGCAAGCCUGAUGCAGCCAUGCCGCGUGUGUGAAGAAGGCCUUCGGGUUGUAAAGCACUUUCAGUCAGGAGGAAAGGUUAGUAGUUAAUACCUGCUAGCUGUGACGUUACUGACAGAAGAAGCACCGGCUAACUCCGUGCCAGCAGCCGCGGUAAUACGGAGGGUGCGAGCGUUAAUCGGAAUUACUGGGCGUAAAGCGUACGCAGGCGGUUUGUUAAGCGAGAUGUGAAAGCCCCGGGCUCAACCUGGGAACUGCAUUUCGAACUGGCAAACUAGAGUGUGAUAGAGGGUGGUAGAAUUUCA